rnacentral:rRNA from 1 species
AUUGAACGCUGGCGGAAUGCUUUACACAUGCAAGUCGAACGGUAGAGGGGGCAACCCCUCGAGAGUGGCGAACGGGUGAGUAAUAUGUCGGAACGUGCCCAGUCGUGGGGGAUAACGUAGCGAAAGUUACGCUAAUACCGCAUACGAUCUAAGGAUGAAAGCGGGGGAUCGCAAGACCUCGCGCGAUUGGAGCGGCCGAUAUCAGAUUAGGUAGUUGGUGGGGUAAAGGCUCACCAAGCCAACGAUCUGUAGCUGGUCUGAGAGGACGACCAGCCACACUGGAACUGAGACACGGUCCAGACUCCUACGGGAGGCAGCAGUGGGGAAUUUUGGACAAUGGACGCAAGUCUGAUCCAGCCAUUCCGCGUGCAGGAUGAAGGCCCUCGGGUUGUAAACUGCUUUUGUACGGAACGAAAAGGUCUCUCUUAAUACGGGGGACUCAUGACGGUACCGUAAGAAUAAGCACCGGCUAACUACGUGCCAGCCGCCGCGGUAAUAC